GAUGAACGCUAGCUACAGGCUUAACACAUGCAAGUCGAGGGGAAACGAUAGAGAAAGCUUGCUUUUUCUAGGCGUCGACCGGCGCACGGGUGAGUAACGCGUAUCCAACCUGCCCGUCACUUGGGGAUAACCUUGCGAAAGUAAGACUAAUACCCAAUGACGUCUCUAGAAGACAUCUGAAAGGGAUUAAAGAUUUAUCGGCGAUGGAUGGGGAUGCGUCUGAUUAGCUUGUUGGCGGGGUAACGGCCCACCAAGGCGACGAUCAGUAGGGGUUCUGAGAGGAAGGUCCCCCACAUUGGAACUGAGACACGGUCCAAACUCCUACGGGAGGCAGCAGUGAGGAAUAUUGGUCAAUGGACGAGAGUCUGAACCAGCCAAGUAGCGUGCAGGAUGACGGCCCUAUGGGUUGUAAACUGCUUUUAUAAGGGAAUAAAGUGAGAGUCGUGACUCUUUUUGCAUGUACCUUAUGAAUAAGGACCGGCUAAUUCCGUGCCAGCCGCCGCGGUAA
rnacentral:rRNA from 1 species